UACGUAGGGUGCAAGCGUUGUCCGGAAUUAUUGGGCGUAAAGAGCUCGUAGGCGGUCUGUUGCGUCGGCUGUGAAAACCCGGGGCUCAACUCCGGGCCUGCAGCCGAUACGGGCAGACUAGAGUUCGGCAGGGGAGACUGGAAUUCCCGGUGUAGCGGUGAAAUGCGCAGAUAUCAGGAGGAACACCGGUGGCGAAGGCGGGUCUCUGGGCCGAUACUGACGCUGAGACGUGAAAGCGUGGGGAGCGAACAGG
rnacentral:rRNA from 1 species